GAAAGUACGACUGCAAUUUUUCUGCGGUAGAAAAAAAUCAUUUGUCGUUAUUUCUCAGUUUCAAUCAUGAGUCCGAUGAAAAUUGCGUUCUUCGUGAUGGCUGUCGCCAUUGGGUGUGUCUCCUACACUUCGGCCGAGCCAGAGCCCUGCCCUUACGCUGUUUGCGGAAUUUUCUAAUUUGAUGACGCGAUCACCAACGCCACCCGGGCCCUCCCAAUUACGGAAAGGUGCUCUAAUUGGCUACUUCAAACAAUUCAAUAUGAACCAUCAAGGUCGUGAUUUUAGUGUCUAAAAAUUGUCGUCUGCAGGAGAUCCCCGGCAUUCUUAUCUUUCGAACUCACAAAGUUGAUUUUGUAAAUCAAUCUUUACAACACGACAACCACUUCAGUGAAGCAAAGUUCACGCAAAAUUAUACUAAAUGUAAGAAAAUUGUGGAAUUGGUCUUAUGAAUAAAUAAAUAAAUAAUAAAACUUGUUCGCAAAA